AAUCGGGAAGCAGAACUGACUCGGGGAGGAACCGGCGGCGCCCAAGUUCCCCGGUUCCCCCCGCCACGUAUGCGGCGGCGGUGAUCGUGGGGAUCGGGGCUUCCCCCGGGCAAAAGAAGCUCACUUUGGCAGCGACCGUCCCUCGAUUCCCCGGCGAGGCUUCCCAAACCACCCGCAACUUUUUUUUGUGCUGUAUUGGCACGCGCAAGAGGCUCCUUUCACACGAGUAGCCUGGCCCACUAAAUCGCGGGGGGGGGGGGAGGGAGAGAGAAAGCGUUGGGGGAGCCGAGACAACCCGUGUCCAGAAAAACCUCGUAUACAUCAGCCUCCCAAAAUACCCGGUGGAAGGUUAAAUUAUUUGAAGGGGCAGCCUUAGGAGCGGACCGUGUGAGACGCAGUAGUUGCUCGCAGUAGACGCGGACACUGCAGUUGGGGGAUUUUGCUCCGGAUUUUGACUGCUGCAUUGCAGAGGGCUGGGGGAGUUGGUAAGGAUUUUGGCACUGCACUGCGAGAAGCACGUUAUUGCUUUAAUUUAAUUUCGGAGCAGUACUUGAUCAUGGGGAAAAAAUUUAAAAAGCUUUGCUCAGGUUUGGGGUAGUAUGUCACAGAAACACGUCGAUUACUAUUUCUUCCUCUAACAGUCACUGCAUUGCAGAAAUUUCUGCAAGAGGUAUACGUAUGAUUUAAAUGCAAGAUUUUUCUGUGCUCUGCUAGGAAGCAUUGUGGAAAGCAAAGGUUCAGAUUUAACUUCGUAAUGUAGAGUAACUGGGUUUUGGUUUUAGAUUAGGGGAUUAAAAAAACAUUGCUGCAGGAUGUUGCAUUCUUUAAAUUGAGGUAAUGGUAUAUACUUCGUCAGCAUGUUACAUUUGUGGAUGGGGCAUCACGCUGUAAAAGCUAGUGCUGCAGUUCAGAUACUAUCUUGUUAGAAACAUUAGCUCCUUUGGGGGCACUAUAUUGCAGAAAAAAAUAAAACAAGUGUUUGCUGUUG